rnacentral:rRNA from 1 species
UACGUAGGGGGCAAGCGUUGUCCGGAAUCACUGGGCUUAAAGGGCGCGUAGGCGGCCGGGUUGGUCGUGGGUGAAAUCCCCCAGCUUAACUGGGGAAGUGCCUACGAUACUGCCUGGCUCGAGUGAGGUAGGGGCGGUCGGAACUGUCGGUGGAGCGGUGAAAUGCGUUGAUAUCGACAGGAACGCCGGUGGCGAAAGCAGACCGCUGGCCCUCUUCUGACGCUGAGGCGCGAAAGCCAGGGGAGCGAACGUG